rnacentral:rRNA from 1 species
GGAAAAGAAAUCAACCGAGAUUCCCCCAGUAGCGGCGAGCGAACGGGGAGCAGCCCAGAGCCUGAAUCAGUGUGUGUGUUAGUGGAAGCGUCUGGAAAGGCGCGCGAUACAGGGUGACAGCCCCGUACACAAAAAUGCACAUGCUGUGAGCUCGAUGAGUAGGGCGGGACACGUGGUAUCCUGUCUGAAUAUGGGGGGACCAUCCUCCAAGGCUAAAUACUCCUGACUGACCGAUAGUGAACCAGUACCGUGAGGGAAAGGCGAAAAGAACCCCGGCGAGGGGAGUGAAAAAGAACCUGAAACCGUGUACGUACAAGCAGUGGGAGCACAGAGCAAUCUGUGUGACUGCGUACCUUUUGUAUAAUGGGUCAGCGACUUAUAUUCUGUAGCAAGGUUAACCGAAUAGGGGAGCCGAAGGGAAACCGAGUCUUAACUGGGCGUUAAGUUGCAGGGUAUAGACCCGAAACCCGGUGAUCUAGCCAUGGGCAGGUUGAAGGUUGGGUAACACUAACUGGAGGACCGAACCGACUAAUGUUGAAAAAUUAGCGGAUGACUUGUGGCUGGGGGUGAAAGGCCAAUCAAACCGGGAGAUAGCUGGUUCUCCCCGAAAGCUAUUUAGGUAGCGCCUCGUGAAUUCAUCUCCGGGGGUAGAGCACUGUUUCGGCAAGGGGGUCAUCCCGACUUACCAACCCGAUGCAAACUGCGAAUACCGGAGAAUGUUAUCACGGGAGACACACGGCGGGUGCUAACGUCCGUCGUGAAGAGGGAAACAACCCAGACCGCCAGCUAAGGUCCCAAAGUCAUGGUUAAGUGGGAAACGAUGUGGGAAGGCCCAGACAGCCAGGAUGUUGGCUUAGAAGCAGCCAUCAUUUAAAGAAAGCGUAAUAGCUCACUGGUCGAGUCGGCCUGCGCGGAAGAUGUAACGGGGCUAAACCAUGCACCGAAGCUGCGGCAGCGACGCUUAUGCGUUGUUGGGUA